UGAGCAAUCUGCCCUUCUCUUCGGAAUAAGCGUGGGAAACCGCGUCUAAUGCCGAAUACGACCUCCUUUCGCAUGAUCGGAGGUGGAAAGCUCCGGCGGAGAAGGAUGAGCUCGCGGCCUAUCAGCUUGUUGGUGAGGUAAUGGCUCACCAAGGCGACGACGGGUAGCCGGCCUGAGAGGGUGACCGGCCACACUGGGACUGAGACACGGCCCAGACUCCUACGGGAGCAG
rnacentral:rRNA from 1 species